rnacentral:rRNA from 1 species
CAGCAGCCGCGGUAAUACAGAGGGUGCGAGCGUUAAUCGGAUUUACUGGGCGUAAAGCGUGCGUAGGCGGAUUCUUAAGUCGGAUGUGAAAUCCCUGAGCUUAACUUAGGAAUUGCAUUCGAUACUGGGAAGCUAGAGUAUGGGAGAGGAUGGUAGAAUUCCAGGUGUAGCGGUGAAAUGCGUAGAGAUCUGGAGGAAUACCGAUGGCGAAGGCAGCCAUCUGGCCUAAUACUGACGCUGAGGUACGAAAGCAUGGGGAGCAAACAGGAUUAGAUACCCCCGUAGUCCCUGUCUCUUAUAC